GCCGGCGUAGCCCAACGGCAGAGGCGCGUCCCUUAGGAGGACGUCAGUGUGGGUUCGAAUCCCACCGCCGGCA
rnacentral:tRNA from 1 species